rnacentral:rRNA from 1 species
UACGUAGGGUGCAAGCGUUGUCCGGAAUCACUGGGCGUAAAGAGCUCGUAGGCGGUUUGUCGCGUCGUCUGUGAAGACUCGAGGCUCAACCUCGAGCUUGCAGGCGAUACGGGCAGACUUGAGUACUGCAGGGGAGACUGGAAUUCCUGGUGUAGCGGUGAAAUGCGCAGAUAUCAGGAGGAACACCGGUGGCGAAGGCGGGUCUCUGGGCAGUAACUGACGCUGAGGAGCGAAAGCGUGGGUAGCGAACAGG